UUUUUUAUAUUUAUAUGCUACUAUUUAGCAUUUAUAUAGUGCUUUAGAGAGGUGCUGCCAAGUGAAAGUGCACUUGGACUCACUGGAGGGCAGAAGGAGCGUCAAGAAAGGGGCAAAGACUGCCCAAAAAAGUCUUCUGACAAGGUUGGAGUCCUAUGUCUCCUUCCACUCCCUGCCAUAUAUAACUUGAGAAAGUGGGACUAAAGAUCAAUGACAGAAUCUUGAAUAUAACCUGGAAACUAAUAAGAAAUUGAUGCAGAUAUUAAGCACAGAUUUUGAAUUCACACCGGCCAGCACCACUCAGGAGGUGGACAAAAGCAUUCUCCAAACUACAAACUGAAGGAAUAACUUUGGAAUACCACAUCCAAGCAAUUCCAGAAUUUCAUGGAAUAUUUCAGGCAUCAUGGAACCAGUUUGAUUGAGAAGAAGGUCAGGACCCCCAACUACCUGGUGAUCUGCCAGUAAAAUACCAAGAUACCUUGCUAUCAUGAGAUCUAAUCCUUGCUAACGCAUCUAGAAUGAAAAAUGCCCAUCACACCUUUCUGUUGAAGACGACAGACCUUUCCAAGGGAAGUCUGGAACAUGAAAAACAAUUGAAUUAAAGUCUAAUUUAUAUUUGGGAGUGAGAUGAAGCAGGAAUGAACAACAGGACAAACUCAAAAAAAAAAAAGAUUAUGCACUAAUACACAAAGGUUAAGGCUACAUAUAUCAGAAUAUAUACAAUAAAAACUCUGACUGAUGGGGCUUUAAACA